CUCCGGUCCUCCCCUCAGUGGUUGCAGGCUCGGCCGGUUGGCGAUAGGCCACACGUAGCAGCAGCCAGCGCCGCGGCCAGGAUGCAGAGGCAGAGCAGAUCCGAUGCAGAGGCAGAGCAGAUCCACGCUGCCUGCCCAGAUGCAGAUGCAGAGCAUUGUUCAGGCCACAAGAGUGAAAACAACUUGGCCAAAAAACCAAAAGGGAUAAAGAAAUUUAUUUGGGUGGAAAAACCAAAGGGAUUGGGACACUGCAGGGAAAAACCAAAUUUGGAUGAAUUGUGGGUUAUUGGUUCAGUAUAUGAGUAGCAGUAUUUUCUCAAAUUUACAUAAUUGUUGUGCCUGAGAGCUAUUGGUUUUCUAUGCCCUGUCGAAGUUAAAGGAAAUAAGGACCUGUUGCACAAGUGUAUGCCAAUUCUGAGCUGAGCUUAUGUGGUGGUGUCUUUGUGAUCGCUAGGGCUAUCACCAUGAGUACCUGCAGAGGGAGUCAGGAUUUAGCAGCAAGUUCAUUGUGCUGCAGAUUAACACCAAAGUCACAGAUGGUUUCCACAAGUAGUACUGGAUAUAUAUCCAUGUCGUAGAGGUCUAACAACAAUCCAACGCCUAUCGUCAGG